rnacentral:rRNA from 1 species
GAUUACCCGCUGAACUUAAGCAUAUCAGUAAGCGGAGGAAAAGAAACUAACUAGGAUUCCGUCAGUAACGGCGAGUGAAGACGGAAUAGCCCAAGGUUCAAACCUGGAUCUCUUCGAGGUUAGGUGAUGUGACCUAUGGACUGAUGGAGCCCGCUGUUGUGACUGCUAAUUCCGUUUGGAAUUUCGAGUCGUAGAAGGUGAUAACCCUGUUCGCAGUAUCACAACAGUUGGACUUUGCCAUUAGCUCCACGAGUAGGAAUGUCUGAAAUUGCAUUCUGAAUGGGUGAUAAGAUUCAUCCAAGGCUAAAUAUAUGUUAGGAGAUCGAUAGCAUACAAGUACCGUGAGGGAAAGGUGAAAAGAACUUUGAAAAAAGGUUUAAAAGUAUUUGACACCGUUUAUGUGGAAGCGUUUACUUGGACCCCGAUUAAUGACGUCGGUUUAGCUCUAAUUCUUAGGUGGCCAAAGUAGAGUGUUACGUGCUGAUCAAAAGGUAACGGACAUUUGAUUCAUUGGUUAUCGACGAGGAAGGUACUCUAAAUCGGCCAGUUACUAACGGGUGAGAUCUGAUGUUUAUAAAAUGGGGGAUGAGGCUUAUCGGCUUGCUGGUGGCUCGCUCUCAAUAAUGGAUAUUGGGUUUCAUCAAGAGUGCAAAAUGGUGGCAAUUCACUAUUAGUGGUUAUUAAUUUUGUUUGCGUGGCUUGGCCUUGUCUACAGGUUAUCUUCGGAUGGCUUGUAGCUUUGUUGAACGCGUGGGCUUAAUGUUGUGAUUCUAGUAGCGUUACCAUAUCGUUAGAGUGGGUUCAAUAAAUGUCCCGUCUUGAAACACGGAUCAAGGAGGCCGUUUUGUGUGCGAGUGUAAGAGUAAUUAAAACUCUGACGCGUAUUGAAAGAAAGAAUACUCCAAAAGAUCGUAACUACGGUUACCUUCUGUAAGGAGUGCCCGAAUCAUGAGAACUCUGUUUCGAAAGGAUUUGCGGUUGAGCACCUAGAAUGGGACCCGAAAGGUUGUGAACUAUGCCUGAGGAAGGCGAAGUCAGGGGAAACUCUGAUGGAGGCUUGUCGCAAUGCUGACGUGCAAAUCGCUUGUCUAACUUGGGUAUAGGGGCGAAAGACUAAUCGAACAACCUAGUAGCUGGUUCCUUCCGAAGUUUCCCUCAGGAUAGCUGGAGCAGUAUUCUAGUUCCAUCUUGUAAAGACAAUGAUUAGCAGUUUCGGGGGCGUAAUGCUCUCAGCUGAUUCUCAAACUCUGAACGGGUGGGUAUCAUUUUAAUUCACUUAAUUGGAUUUUAAAAUUAAAUUGCACAUGUGCAAUGAAAAAUAGGAGCUCUUAGUGGGCCAUUUUUGGUAAGCAGAACUGGCGAUGU